rnacentral:rRNA from 1 species
GACGAACGCUGGCGGCAUGCCUAAUACAUGCAAGUCGAGCGGACCCGAGGUGCUUGCACCUCAAUGGGUCAGCGGCGGACGGGUGAGUAACACGUGGGCAACCUGCCCAACAGACUGGGAUAACUCCGGGAAACCGGAGCUAAUACCGGAUAUCCUCUUUUCACCACCUGGUCAAAAGAGAAAAGGCGGUUUCGGCCGCCACUGUUGGAUGGGCCCGCGGCGCAUUAGCUAGUUGGUGGGGUAAUGGCCUACCAAGGCGAUGAUGGUUAGCCGGCCGGAGAGGGUGUACGGCAACGCUGGAACUUAGACACGGUCCAGACUCCUACGGGGGGCAGCAGUGAGGAAUAUUGCGCAAUGGGCGAAAGCCUGACGCAGCGACGCCGCGUGGAGGAUGAAGGUCUUCGGAUUGUAAACUCCUGUUAAGUGGGAAGAAAGACUUUUUCUUAAUAGGAAAAAGGGAUGACUGUACCAUUAGAGAAAGCACUGGCUAACUUCGUGCCAGCAGCCGCGGUAA